UACGUAGGGUGCGAGCGUUGUCCGGAAUUAUUGGGCGUAAAGAGCUCGUAGGCGGUUUGUCGCGUCGGGAGUGAAAACACCGGGCUUAACUCGGUGCUUGCUUUCGAUACGGGCAGACUAGAGGUAUGCAGGGGGAGAACGGAAUUCCUGGUGUAGCGGUGAAAUGCGCAGAUAUCAGGAGGAACACCGGUGGCGAAGGCGGUUCUCUGGGCAUUACCUGACGCUGAGGAGCGAAAGUGUGGGGAGCGAACAGG
rnacentral:rRNA from 1 species